rnacentral:rRNA from 1 species
GACGUAGGUGGCGAACGUUAUCCGGAAUUAUUGGGCGUAAAGGGUGCGUAGAUGGCCUGAUAAGUUAGCAGUGGGAAAUCGAGGCUCAACCUCGUGGAAGCUGGUAAUACUGUCAGGCUCGAGUGAAGGAGAGGUUAACGGAACUCCAUGUGGAGCGGUAAAAUGUGUAGAUAUAUGGAAGAACACCAAUAACGGCGAAGGCAGUUAACUAUUCUGUUACUGACAUUGAGGCAUGAAAGCGUGGGGAGCAAACCGG